UACGUAGGGUGCAAGCGUUGUCCGGAAUUAUUGGGCGUAAAGAGCUCGUAGGCGGUCUGUCACGUCGGCUGUGAAAACCCGAGGCUCAACCUCGGGCCUGCAGUCGAUACGGGCAAACUAGAGUACUGCAGGGGAGACUGGAAUUCCUGGUGUAGCGGUGAAAUGCGCAGAUAUCAGGAGGAACACCGGUGGCGAAGGCGGCCCUCUGGACGGAUACUGACGCUGGAGGCGACGAAAGCGUGGGGAUCAAACAGG
rnacentral:rRNA from 1 species